GCACAGACUAUGGGUAUUUGGUGAGGCAGAAUUCAGAAUUGCUGCGUGCCCUGGAUGAGCUGGAAAGGACCUGUGCUUCUCUGCGUCAGGAAAAUGUGUUAUUGCGCAAAAGCAGCUCCCCUGAAACAGAAGAGAAGGUGAAGAGGCUGAAACGGAAGAAUGCCGAGCUGGCCGUCAUCGCCAAGCGCUUAGAGGAGAGGGCUCGGAAACUACAAGAGGCCAACCUCAAAGUGGCGAACACACCUGUGCCACUGAAGGGAUCCGGUGUAGAGCAGUACAAGAAGGCGUUUGCCAGGCAGCGUGCCCAUGACCUGGCAGAGCAAGCAGAGGCCCUCCUUGCCAAGGAUAAGGAGAUUGAAGCACUGCACGCUGAGUGCAGGGAGCUUCAGUCUCGCUUUGGGAAAGGAAAGGGCCAGUCGGGUGGGAGUGAUUUUGAGCGGCUGUUGCGGGAGUCUCAGAAGGAGGUCUUGCGGUUGCAGAGACAGUUGGCCUUAUCGUCAACAAGAGAGCCAGAGAUUGUGAACUACCAGG